rnacentral:rRNA from 1 species
AACGAACGCUGGCGGCAGGCCUAACACAUGCAAGUCGAGCGAGCGGCGGACUGGUGAGUAAUGUAUGGGGACUGCCCGAUAGAGGGGGAUAACUAGGGGAAACGGUGGCUAAUACCGCAAACGAUCGGUUAACCCAUAUGGGAUUAGCUAGUCGGUGGGGUAAAGGCUCACCUAGGCGACGAUACCUAGCUGGUCUGAGAGGAUGAUCGGCCACACUGGGACUGAGACACGGCCCAGACUCCUACGGAGGCAGCAGUGGGGAAUAUUGCACAAUGGGCGCAAGCCUGAUGCAGCCAUGCCGCGUGUAUGAAGAAGGGCUUAGGGUUGUAAAGUACUUUUAGGAGGGAAGCGUUACCCACAGAGGAAGCACCGGCUAACUCCGUGCCAGCAGCCGCGGUAAUUC